AGAGUUUGAUCAUGGCUCAGGACGAACGCUGGCGGCGUGCUAACACAUGCAAGUCGAACGGUGACGCAGAGCUUGCUCUGCCGAUCAGUGGCGAACGGGUGAGUAACACGUGAGCAACCUGCCCUUGACUCUGGGAUAACAGCUGGAAACAGCUGCUAAUACCGGAUACGACCUCGACCGACAUCGAUCGAGGUGGAAAGCUCCGGCGGUCAAGGAUGGGCUCGCGGCCUAUCAGCUAGUUGGUGAGGUAACGGCUCACCAAGGCUUCGACGGGUAGCCGGCCUGAGAGGGCGACCGGCCACACUGGGACUGAGAUACGGCCCAGACUCCUACGGGAGGCAGCAGUGGGGAAUAUUGCACAAUGGGCGCAAGCCUGAUGCAGCAACGCCGCGUGCGGGAUGACGGCCUUCGGGUUGUAAACCGCUUUCAGCUCCGACGAAGCGCAAGUGACGGUAGGAGCAGAAGAAGGACCGGCCAACUACGUGCCAGCAGCCGCGGUGAUACGUAGGGUCCGAGCGUUGUCCGGAAUUAUUGGGCGUAAAGGGCUUGUAGGCGGUUCGUCACGUCGGAAGUGAAAACUCAGGGCUUAACCCUGAGCCUGCUUCCGAUACGGGCGAACUAGAGGGAUGCAGGGGAGAAUGGAAUUCCUGGUGGAGCGGUGGAAUGCGCAGAUAUCAGGAGGAACACCAGUGGCGAAGGCGGUUCUCUGGGCAUUUCCUGACGCUGAGAAGCGAAAGCGUGGGGAGCAAACAGGCUUAGAUACCCUGGUAGUCCACGCCGUAAACGGUGGGCACUAGGUGUGGGACUCAUUCCACGAGUUCCGUGCCGUAGCUAACGCAUUAAGUGCCCCGCCUGGGGAGUACGGCCGCAAGGCUAAAACUCAAAGGAAUUGACGG
rnacentral:rRNA from 1 species